UUCCUACGGGAGGCAGCAGUGAGGAAUUUUGCGCAAUGGGGGAAACCCUGACGCAGCAACGCCGCGUGAGUGAUGAAGGCUUUCGGGUCGUAAAGCUCUGUCAAGUGGGAAGAACCUGCUAGAUACUAAUACCAUCUAGCACUGACGGUACCACUAAAGGAAGCACCGGCUAACUCCGUGCCAGCAGCCGCGGUAAUACGGGGGGUGCAAGCGUUAUUCGGAAUUAUUGGGCGUAAAGGGCGCGUAGGCGGUCUCUAAAGUCAGAUGUGAAAGCCCGGGGCUUAACCCCGGAAGUGCAUUUGAAACUUAGGGACUUGAGUAUGGGAGAGGGAAGUGGAAUUCCUGGUGUAGCGGUGAAAUGCGUAGAUAUCAGGAGGAACACCAGUGGCGAAGGCGACUUCCUGGACCAAUACUGACGCUGAGGCGCGAAGGCGUGGGGAGCAAACAGGAUUAGAUACCCUGGUAGUCCACGCAGUAAACGGUGAACACUAGGUGUAGCGGGUAUUGACCCCUGCUGUGCCGCAGCUAACGCAUUAAGUGUUCCGCCUGGGGAGUACGAUCGCAAGAUUAAAACUCAAAUGAAUUGACGGAA
rnacentral:rRNA from 1 species